AUGAAAAGGGAUGUAUCUAGAACUAAUAUACAUCUAGAUACAUCCCCUUUAUGGUCUAAGAACCACUUUGCCGAGGCUAGGCGUGAGAAAGUUAGGCUAGGUGCUCAAAUUAGUGAUCUUGAUAGUCGUGUGGAUAGCGUUGGGCUCUCGGAGGCUGAUUGGCAGAUUCGGUAUGGCCUUGAGAAGACGCUCUUGGAUAUUCACCGCCAGGAGGAGGUUUACUGGAAGCAAAGGGGCACGAUUAACUGGACCCUUAAGGGUGAUGCCCCCACGGCUUACUUCUUCGCCAUUGCGAGUGGUAGACGGCGUAGAUGCCUGAUUGAUAGCCUCCUGAUUGACGGUGUUAGGGUUUCGGACCCUACGGUCAUUCUUCGCCAUGUGGUCCAAUUCUUUUCUAAUCUGCUUGCGGCUAGACCUGAGCUUGGCUUUUCGCUUGCACCGGGCUUCUGGGCCCCACUUGAGCGGUUGUCAUCCGCUGAUAAUGAGAUACUGCUUAUCCCCCCUUCUGAGGAGGAAAUCUUCGACACUAUUCGGACUGCCAACUCUAAUGCGUCCUCAGCCCCCGAUGGCUUCUCCAUCCCUUUCUUUCGGCAAUUCUGGCCUCAACUAAAAGUCCUUAUUUCUGUAGUCAUCCAAGGCUUUUGGCUGGGCACUGUUGACAUUUCUAGACUUAAUUACGCUGUUCUCACCCUCAUCCCUAAAAUCAAAGGUGUUGAUCUCAUCUCUCAGUUUAGGCCUAUUGCUUUAAUCAACAACUUUGCCAAGAUGCCUGCUAAGGGCAUGGCCACUAGGUUGUCUCCGAUAGCGCAUCGGACCAUUAGCCCUUUCCAGUCUGCUUUCAUCAAAGGGAGGUUCAUCUUGGAUGGGGUGCUUUGCUUACAUGAGAUAAUCCAUGACUUGAGGGUUCAAGGGACCAAGGCGGUGGUCCUUAAGCUUGACUUCGAGAAGGCUUACGGUUCGGUGAGUUGGAACUUUCUCCGGCAAGUCCUUUUGGCUAAGGGCUUUGAGGGCCCUGUGAUGCAUCGUCUGAUGCAGCUGGUAUCUGGUGGCCACACAGCUGUGGUUGUCAAUGGUCAAACUAGUAAUUUUUUUGCUAACGGUAGGGGCCUCAGACAAGGGGACCCGGCGUCUCCUUUGCUUUUCAAUUUUGUGGCUGAUGCUUUAUCCCGAAUCCUUUCUCGGGCUGCGUUGGCUGGGCAUAUUACCCCGGUGAGCUCUCACCUUAUCCCUCACGACAUCUCUCAUCUUCAAUAUGCGGAUGACACUAUCAUUUUGAUAGAGCUCAAUGAGAACAGUCUCACCAACCUGAAAUUCCUCCUGCUCUGCUUCGAAGCGCUUUCGGGCCUUAAAAUCAAUUUUUCCAAGAGCGAGGUCAUUGUAACCGGGGUUUCGGAUUUGGAGGCGCAACGGGUGGCUCACCUUCUGAACUGUUCCCUUGGGUCCUUUCCUAUCAAAUAUCUAGGCCUUCCCAUCUCCCCGUAUAAGCUCCUGGCGAAAGAUUUCGCCCCGGUGGUCACCAAAGUUGGCAAUAGAGUGCUCCCUUGGCGAGGUCGAUAUAACACGCAAGCGGGCAAGGUUGCCCUUACCAACUCAUGUCUCUCAUCCCUCCCAAUGUUCUUGAUGGGCUUUUAUCUUCUAUCUAAUGGGGUUCAUUCUGGUUUCGACAAGCAUAGGGGUGCUUUUUACUGGAACGCUGCGGAUAAUAAACGCAAGUACAGAUUGGUCAGAUGGGACAUCAUUUGUCGUCCUAAGGACAAAGGGGGCCUUGGCAUUAUUAAUACGAGAGUUAUGAAUAAUUGUCUCUUGAUUAAAUGGUGGUGGAAGAUCAUGACUCUUGAGGAGCGUCCAACCUGGCUCUCGAUUCUAAAAGCUAAAUACUUCCCCUCUUCGAGCCCAAUGUUUGCCUCUGCUUCUGGCGGGUCUCAAUUCUGGUGUCAACUGGUUAAAGUUCGCCCGAUUUUUCGGUCCUUAGUUAAGUUUGUUGUCAGGAACGGUAAGUCCACGCGGUUUUGGAUAGAUUGGUGGGUCGGGGACUCUACGCUUGCGGCUACCUUUCCGGCCUUGUUCUCCUACUGUGAUGAUGCUGAGAUCUCUAUCUUUGAGCUCUCGGUUAAGGGAUGGGUUUUAGAUUUUCGGUGUUCUCUUUCCCCUGAAGAGUUGGAAGAUUGGCAGCGCCUUACUGCUUGCUUCCCCUGCUCUCGGAGGAAGAGGAUUCUGUGGUGUGGCCCCUCUCCUCUUCGGGGCGCUUCUCUGUAA
rnacentral:rRNA from 1 species